GACGAACGCUGGCGGCGUGCUUAACACAUGCAAGUCGAACGGGGCUCAUCGCUUCGGUGGUGGGUCUAGUGGCGAACGGGUGAGUAACACGUGGGCAACCUGCCCCCGGCUCUGGGAUAACUCCAAGAAAUUGGGGCUAAUACCGGAUGUGACCGCUGGCCGCAUGAUCUGGUGGUGGAAAGGGUUUCCGGCUGGGGAUGGGCCCGCGGCCUAUCAGCUUGUUGGUGGGGUAGUGGCCUACCAAGGCGACGACGGGUAGCCGGCCUGAGAGGGUGACCGGGCACACUGGGACUGGGACAGGGCCCAGACUCCUAAGGGAGGCAGCAGUGGGGAAUAUUGCGCAAUGGGCGGAAGCCUGACGCAGCGACGCCGCGUGGGGGAUGACGGCCUUCGGGUUGUAAACCUCUUUCAGCAGGGACGAAGCCGCGAGGUGACGGUACCUGCAGAAGAAGCACCGGCCAACUACGUGCCAGCAGCCGCGGUAA
rnacentral:rRNA from 1 species